CAGCCGCCGCGGUAAUACCGGCGGCCCGAGUGGCGGCCACUAUUAUUGGGCUUAAAGCGUCCGUAGCCGGGUUGGGAAGUCCUCCGGGAAAUCUGGCCGCUUAACGGUCAGAAUGCCGGAGGAUACUCCCAGCCUAGGGAGCGGGAGAGGCCGAGGGUAUUCCCGGAGUAGGGGUGAAAUCCUAUAAUCCCGGGAGGACCACCUGUGGCGAAGGCGCUCGGCUGGAACGCGUCCGACGGUGAGGGACGAAGGCCAGGGGAGCAAACCGGAUUAGAUGCCCGGGUAGUCCUGGCUGUAAACGAUGCGGACUUUGUGUCGGACAAGCUAUGAGCUUGUCCGGUGCCGGAGGGAAACCGUUAAGUCCGCCGCCUGGGGAGUACGGCCGCAAGGCUGAAACUUAAAGGAAUUGGCGGG
rnacentral:rRNA from 1 species